rnacentral:rRNA from 1 species
UACGGGGGGUGCGAGCGUUGUCCGGAAUCACUGGGCGUAAAGGGCGCGUAGGUGGUUUGAUAAGGGUGUGGUGAAAGCCCGGAGCUCAACUCCGGGUCUGCCGUGCCGACUGUCAAACUCGAGGGCUGUAGAGGCAGACGGAAUUCCGGGUGUAGCGGUGGAAUGCGUAGAGAUCCGGAGGAAGACCGGUGGCGAAGGCGGUCUGCUGGGCAGUUUCUGACACUGAGGCGCGACAGCGUGGGAAGCAAACAGG